CCUCGCCUGCGGUCCUGCUGGGGAUGUUGGGCACCCAGACCCUUUCCCGGAGGACUGCCCCAUCGUUACUGAGGAGUGAUGACACUAAAAGGCCGAAUUGCAGUGUGUCCCUUGGCAGUUGGCUCUCUGUGGGUACACGAUGACAAAACCUCCUGAAGCGAACCUCUGGUCUGACCUCAGUAAUGUCGGGGCACGGUUUCCAAAAUGGGCUUUUCCAGCAAGCUCAGACAUUGUUAAGAAGAGAUGAUUGGUGAACCCUGGGCAACUUUGGGGCUUCAGCAUGCAAUAAGCACCUUUCUACAUGUUUUAUGAUAUACUUGCUACAUCAAAGACUAGUGACAAGAAUCAUGAAAACAAUAAUAAUAGUAAUAGACCAUAAUGGUAAAGAAUUCACAUGACACAAGGGGCAUGGGUUCGCUCCUUGCCUGGGUCGGGAAGAUCCCCCGGAGGAGGAAAUGGCAACCCACUCCAGUACUCUUGCCUGGAAAACUCCAUGGACUGAGGAGCCUGGCGGCUGCAGUCCACGGAGUCGCAGAGUCAGACAUCCCUGAGCGCAGAAGCACACAAGACAUUCAAGAACCAGGCUGUUCUCACUGGGACAAAAUGCCCAACACAACCAGAUGCCCCGGUGAUUUGAAGAUAUUAAAGCUAGAAAUUGGAACUGAAAGUCCAGAGAAUUCAAGACGUGGUUUUUAAAAAACAUGAACUCAUCUAAUUAAACUUAAAAGUUGAUGCAGUUAUCAAAUCCCAGGACUAUAGUUCCUUUUAUUUCAGGUAAACUUUCUUCUACUUUUAAACAUGUUUAACGAAGAACUUUUUGCUGGUGUUGUAAAUCUAUCUGGGUUUUUUUUUCUCCUCCCAUAAAAUGUUCUCUAAAUAUAA